rnacentral:rRNA from 1 species
AGUUUGAUCCUGGCUCAGGAUGAACGCUAGCUACAGGCUUAACACAUGCAAGUCGAGGGGAAACGACAUCGAAAGCUUGCUUUUGAUGGGCGUCGACCGGCGCACGGGUGAGUAACGCGUAUCCAACCUGCCCACCACUUGGGGAUAACCUUGCGAAAGUAAGACUAAUACCCAAUGACGUCUCUAGAAGACAUCUGAAAGAGAUUAAAGAUUUAUCGGUGAUGGAUGGGGAUGCGUCUGAUUAGCUUGUUGGCGGGGUAACGGCCCACCAAGGCGACGAUCAGUAGGGGUUCUGAGAGGAAGGUCCCCCACAUUGGAACUGAGACACGGUCCAAACUCCUACGGGAGGCAGCAGUGAGGAAUAUUGGUCAAUGGACGAGAGUCUGAACCAGCCAAGUAGCGUGCAGGAUGACGGCCCUAUGGGUUGUAAACUGCUUUUAUAAGGGAAUAAAGUGAGUCUCGUGAGACUUUUUGCAUGUACCUUAUGAAUAAGGACCGGCUAAUUCCGUGCCAGCAGCCGCGGUAAUACGGAAGGUCCGGGCGUUAUCCGGAUUUAUUGGGUUUAAAGGGAGCGUAGGCCGGAGAUUAAGCGUGUUGUGAAAUGUAGACGCUCAACGUCUGCACUGCAGCGCGAACUGGUUUCCUUGAGUACGCACAAAGUGGGCGGAAUUCGUGGUGUAGCGGUGAAAUGCUUAGAUAUCACGAAGAACUCCGAUUGCGAAGGCAGCUCACUGGAGCGCAACUGACGCUGAAGCUCGAAAGUGCGGGUAUCGAACAGGAUUAGAUACCCUGGUAGUCCGCACGGUAAACGAUGGAUGCCCGCUGUUGGUCUGAAUAGGUCAGCGGCCAAGCGAAAGCAUUAAGCAUCCCACCUGGGGAGUACGCCGGCAA